CUUAUUACCCAAUAAUUCGAACUCGAUGCGUUUAGUCGUCAAUGAGGAAGGAUCAGAGCUGGGCGGAAGAUAGAUCCAGUGAAUCAGUGAUCGAUCGAUUGCGAAUUCUUCGAUCUUCGCGAGAAAUAAAAAAAAAAAAGGAAAAAAGCAAUACUCGUAUUAUCGUCGUAUUUCAAAGACCUUUUAACAUACAUCGUCAUGAAUCUAUCGAUAAUUAUUCUCGUCAUUGGCUGCAUUUUUUUCACCCCCAAUCCGGUGUCAUGUCAACACGGACCUGGCGGAGGGUUCGGUAGAGGAUUCGGUGGAGGAUUUGGUGGAGGAUUUGGUCGAGCCGGAGGAUUUGGAAGACCAGGUUUUGGAAGAGGCGGAAGAUUCGUUGGACCAGGAUUCGGAAUUGGAGGCGGGGUCGGAUUUUUGGGUCUUGGACUUUACGGAGCAUAUCCUCCGUACUGCUACUAUAAUCCGUAUUAUUGUUACUACUAAACCAGAUGUUUGUACCGCAUGAUGAACGAUAAAUUAUCCUAACGAAUCCAAAGCGAAUUUUUCGGAACCUGAAUCGUACGUGCAAAAAAUUUCAACCGUCCAAUCUAUUUUCAAGUCGGUUCGUUGGUCAUUUUUAUUAAUUUCUUCAGGAUUUGUUAAAUUAUUAUAUUCGUAAGCUCCAUUUUGUAUAAUCGAAUUAAUAAAAAGUGUCUGUCGAUUUUUUUUUUUUACCGACGAGAUCGUCAUCGAUAUUUUCACGAAUAUCACUUUUCAGAACAUAAUUGAAAACGAAUGAUCGCGCGAAAAUCGUUUCAACUUCGCAAUAAAAUUUCAACAGUCUGUUAAAAAGAUUCGUCAAAGACUUACUGGCCGUUGCGUGUGGAGAUCUAAAGCUCGUGAAAGCUCGUUCGACGAUCGUUUUCCAAGGAUCGAGAUUGCGUUUCCGUAAUCGUACCAAGAAGCUUUAACGAUCCGCAGUAAAUUCCUAGUAUGCGUUACGUUAGGUUUUCAUUUAUCGACGAUUCGAAGGCUGAGUAAGAAUGAGAAUAACAACAAUGCAGAAUUUUUCACAUAAGUCGUUACGGCAUCGGCGAAGAUUCUGAAUAGCUGAAACGGUUAAUACAACAUUGAUCAACGUGAAAUUUCUAUGCAAUUGUAUCUGAAUUCGAUUCGCAGGCAAAAACGAUUUUCAGUUCUACUGCAAUUGGCAAGGAGUUAAAAAUAGUUCAGUGAAAACAUAUUUAAUCCUUCAACGCUGCGUUGAAACUCAUCGAGCGACAAGUCUAGCUGGAAAUUUUUCUUUCAACGUGUAAAAUCGUAGAUGAGAAACGUUUAAACGGGUCAAACACGAACAGAGAGAAGUCAUCGCAUCUAGGAUUUAUGGUCUCGUUACUGGAGUUUUAUGGAUCUCUCGAUAAAUUUCAUCGUACUCAAAGACGAGCUUCAGAUUUAUGGACAUUUGAUGCUUUUCAGAAGCUCGAUCUUACACUACAGCUAUCGAUGCCAGGUGUUUAGCUUUCGACGAUAUUGAUCGUUUCCUUGCAAAAAAAAAACAUUUCCUCUGUAAAUUGAAUCGACCCAAUUCUAAAAACUAUGAAAAGAAGAUGAUUCCAACACGUGACUUCCUUCUUUGAUAUCAUUUUUCGAAAGCUGUCAUCGACUUUCUCUCAUUAUAUUCUUUCUAUCGGCGACCCGCUUUCCAUUUGCCUAACAAAUUAUAAUAUUAUUAGCAAGUUUUUCACGGGGUUAUAUAUGCAUUAAAACCGAGCUGCCUGCAAGCGGGAAGAUUACUUUUUAAAAGCUCGGACUAGAGGACGGGCAACUUCGGCAGGAAACGUUCGGGAAAAUUUUUUUGUCCACCUAUUAUUUGCCAAAGAACGACGCGAUGAAUUUCAACACUAUUUUUUGGAUCAUUUUCAUCAUCCUCGGAGUUUCGACUCUCGAUUUUACAAACGGACAGAAUCAGAGGAGGAGAAGACCUGCCGCGCAAAAUCGUCUGACUCCAAAACGAAGACCCGGACAUUUUGCUGGUGUACGACUCAGUCUCGUUCAUUGAACUGGAAUCUGGCAUACAUCUUGAUCAGUUCUGUCGGAUGUGCGUGUUCUGCAUUUUUUUCAUGGAUCGUUUUUCGCUUGGACUCGUCGAAGUUUUUAGACUGAAGGUAUCGAUCCCGAAACGCGUUUAUUACACGUCGUUUUUAAAUCCUCCAUUUAUUUUCCUGUUCAGUCAAUUUUUUAAAUGAAGACUUUACGUUUUGCCAACAGAGAGAGAGAGAGAGAUAUUUACAUACUUGUGUUAUCAUUUGAAUAAGAAAAUAUUUAGUUUUAGUUAUAGAAAUUUUUUAUUACGAUAUUCUUUCUUACUGUUUUGUACCGUCGCUAAUUGUGAAUGUGAAUGAAUAAAGAAUAUCAAUUUAUGUACAUCUUCUGUCCACGUGAAACUAAACCGUUAACUAAACAAAAAUGUAAAGUGUCAAUAAUUAUCGGAAGCUGCUUGGAAGUCUAAUGGCUAAAAUAACAACCUUUUUCGUCGUAAGCACAAAGAUCGAAAAGUUUUUAAUUCUUGUAAUUUAUCGAGUCGAG